GAUGAACGCUGGCGGCGUGCCUAAUACAUGCAAGUCGAGCGAACAGAUGAGGAGCUUGCUCCUCUGACGUUAGCGGCGGACGGGUGAGUAACACGUGGAUAACCUACCUAUAAGACUGGGAUAACUUCGGGAAACCGGAGCUAAUACCGGAUAAUAUAUUGAACCGCAUGGUUCAAUAGUGAAAGACGGUUUUGCUGUCACUUAUCGAUGGAUCCGCGCCGCAUUAGCUAGUUGGUAAGGUAACGGCUUACCAAGGCGACGAUGCGUAGCCGACCUGAGAGGGUGAUCGGCCACACUGGAACUGAGACACGGUCCAGACUCCUACGGGAGGCAGCAGUAGGGAAUCUUCCGCAAUGGGCGAAAGCCUGACGGAGCAACGCCGCGUGAGUGAUGAAGGUCUUCGGAUCGUAAAACUCUGUUAUUAGGGAAGAACAAAUGUGUAAGUAACUAUGCACGUCUUGACGGUACCUAAUCAGAAAGCCACGGCUAACUACGUG
rnacentral:rRNA from 1 species